GAAAUACCACAAUUAAAUAAAACCAUCAAGUGCAAUAAUGGAUCUAUACAGAAUAAAAUUGUGCUUGAUGUGUUUGGCUAUUUUAAGUAUAGCAAGUAUUAAUGUAGAGGCAAGAGCUUCCAUUGGUCUCGAAUCAAAAACUUCAGUUUCUUUAAAUAUAAGGGAUUCUUUCAAGAAUUUCGGAAGUCAUUUAUCGGAAUAUCGUGUCAAGAAACGAAUUGCUCGAGAACAAGCAAAUGAAUAUACUCGUGGCUGUUCAUACAUCACAAGAUGCAGAAACGAUCAUGGUCGUUAAAUAGCUAUUGCUUAUAUUUAUUGAAGAUCUUUGUCAUAUAUUUUCAAAUUUGCUGAUAUCUCCAUAUGUAAUUUGGAUGCAUCAUGCAUCUAUUUAUUCUACAUUAAUAUUUCACAGCGUGUUGCACGUGAAUACUUAUUAUAUAAUAUAUAAUUUUAUAUUUUUAAUUAUACAUCUACAUUAUAUAAACGUGGAAAUAAUGAGAUUUCUUAUAUUACCCUUAAUGAAAUUUUAAUAUCCUACAAUAGCCUUAGUCAUAGCCAAUUAGAAAAUUAAAUUUUAUUUUUUAAAUAUUUGAUUCUAUUUAGAUUAUAAUUUAAAAUAUUUUAUUAACCCUAAACCUUAUAUUUUAAAUGUUUUUUUUUUUUGAAUAUUCGGGAAAGGGAUUCGAAUACGGAUCUAUUGCCGAGUUGUAUAUACACUUAUCACUAUGCUAUGCCUUGGUGUGCCAGGCUUAACGCUUUUCUUCUCUUCAUUUUAUCAUGGAACAAGUUGUUAGGUCAAAAGGAAAACGAAG
rnacentral:lncRNA from 1 species